GUCCCAACAAGCCAUAUCUCCUUAGUUUGAGGUGGAGGAAAUUGUCUUGCGAAACAGAGAAUGCAGUAGAUUUCCCUCGAGUUGUUUUCGGGUCAGCCAAAGUGAAAGGUUUGGAGUCCAGGUGACGAUGUAAAUUAGAUAAAACACCCCUCAGCCUAAGAGUGACCUAAUUAUUUAUUUGACGUCGAUAUGGAGGUAAUGCAGUCCUUGGAAAAAUAGAAAUGUGCCUCGUAGUAGAAAUUAUCUCCUUGAAUGGAGUUGACUAAGACGAGACUCGAUAAGGUACUUAAAGAGAUUUUCUGGACUGCGACUGGAGUCGAAGAAGAUACUUGAUGACAGUACACAACUAGUUCACUUGGUGGCGGUUGCUAGACUAACACGAAGAACACAGGUAUCUGAUUUGACGGUGAAUUCUAGACUAAUACAAAGAAGACACUUGGGGGCAGUACACAACUAAUUAACUUGGCAGCGAUUCCUGGAUUGACUAAUUCGGCAAGGGUAGCACCUUUUAUAGGGUCCUAUUGCAAAGGAAACUACAUCAUACCACCCACUUUUAUCACCUUUGUGUCAGGUUCGGUUAUUCAAGUCAACCUUAUUUUUCACUUACUUUGGAUUCACAAUAGGUGGUAGCUGCCCCACUCUAUUUUUCUAACGGGUCACUGACCUGACGAGUGGGAGUCUCAGUUUGGGACUACUCUUCAACCGUUGCGGAUGUUCUUAUUUUUGGAAUAAGUAUUAAGUGUUCUCUUUUCUUCAUCAUUUAAUUAAGGAACCUAUAAAAGGUAUACCAACCUUGCCGAAUUAGUCAGUCCAGAAAACGCCUUCAAGUUAACUAGUCCAGAAGUCACCGCCGAAUCAACUUCGUGACUUCUUCGUGUCAGUCCAGUAACAAAGAUCAAGUUAACUUGUUGGGUACUGUCAUCGAGUUUGUUCUUCGACUCCAGUCCAGAAAAUCUCUUCAAGUACCAAGUGCAUUCUUCGGGUAUCAUCUUAGUUAACUGCAUUCAAGGAAAAAAUUUCUACUACGAGACGCAUUUCUAUUGACUGUAUUACCUCGACAUCAACGUCAAAUCAAUAAUUUGGUCACUCCUAGGCUGAAAGAGGUUUUAUUUAAUUUACAUCGACACCUGGACUCCGGACCUUUCACUUUGGCUGGCCCGAAAAGAAUUUGAGGGAAAUCUACUGCACUCUCUGUUUCCGCUAGGAGUUAUCACUUGUUGGGUCUACGACUAAGAAUAAUUAUUAAAGUGUCCCUGAAGACAUCUGGAUCAACUCUUUCUCUCUGAUUCUAAUUGUGAAGAAUUCCAGUAAAAACUUUAAUAAUUUCAUUUCAAUUUAACACGCAUCUGUUGAAAAGUCAAAUCUUAACGGAUUUUAACGUUUUUUCUUUUAAAAGCCUCAGGAAGGCUUGCGCUAUAAGACGUGACUGCCUCUUUUUUGAUCAUUUGCAACAAAACCACAAAAAACCAUUUAAAUCCUAAUCAAAUUACGAUAAAAAGUAUCAUACGUUACCGAUUCAUCAGAUAUGAUUUCAUAUUUUUCCAAAGCCAAACUUACCUAAAACAGAAGAAAUUAAUACAAAUUAGUUAAUAAAUCGUAAAGAAGUAAUUGUAAAUUUAAAACAUUAUAAUGCGAAAAUUAACCUUUAUAUUGAAAUAAAGUAUUUUAAUUUGAUAGGUUAUAUUUUCUCUUAAUAUUAUUUCUCUAAAGUUAAGAAAGCUUUAGAGUUAUAUCUCACUGCACUAAAGGUGCAGUGAGAUAUUCCUUUUUGUUCAAAUGUUAAGGGAGCAGUUAAAGCAUCUUUGAAGACUUCCCCUAGUGCAACCACUUGAAGUGGUUCCUAUUUAGCACCUUUCUUGAAAAAGUUUUAAGAAAAGCAAGUAAAAGAAGUCGAAAAAUAAAACAGAAACGCGGAGGCCUUCUAAGUGUGCAACGAAGGAGAAUGUAAAAUUUAAUUUCCUAGUCUACAAACGCAAAAGGAGAGAAGAAUAUUUGCCUUUCUAAGAUUUUACUACCAAAUAGAAACUGUAUAUACUGCUAAUUUCUCGAAAGAAAUUAAAAUAAAAAUAAAAAUAUAAAACAGAUAAGUUGUUACUGAUUUGGUUACAAAACAUUUGAAUGAUGCUUUUAGUAAAUAAACAAACUUAUCGACUGUAAUAAUAGAGGUGCAAGUUGUAGACCUAAGGUGCAGUCAUUAAUGAGGCGAUAAUUAAACCUUCGAAAGAAAUAUUUGUAAAAAAAAAUAUAAAGUAACAUAAGUGAGGGAAACUAGAUUUUUUUGCAUAGAAACUUUUGGGAAAUCUACAUACAGAUAUCUUGGAUUACGCACUCCAAGAUUAUGGUAAACAUGUGUAAUCAUAACUACUGUCCAAAAGAUAUCCUAAAGUUGUCUUUAAGAACAUCUGUGUCCUCAUGCCAAUUUGUUUCUUAUGUAAAGAAAAGUUCAAAUCCACAAACAUUACAGAAAUUGAAGUUUGUAAGGUCUUCAGGUCAGCGCUUUAGGAAGCAAGAAUAAAACUCUUUAGAAGACAAUAAAAAAAAACUGGUAGAAUUGGCAAAGGCAUGGUCGUGAAAGCGAGACUCUAGGCAUCUUCACCUACAAAGUUUAAAUUCAAAAGUGUACCUGAAGACAUCUGGAUCUACUUUUUUUCUCUCAUUCUAAUUGUAAAGAAACCCGCGUUCUUCGUUAGUCCAGAAAUCGCCACCAAGUUAAGAAGUCGUGUAUUGUCAUCGAGUUUAUUCUACGACUCCAGUUCUAAAAAUCUCUUCAAGUACCAAGUGCAUUCUUCAAGUCUCAAUCAAAUUCAGUCAAGGAAAAUUCAUACGAGGAGAUAAUUCCUAAUUCGAGGCACAUUUCUAUUUUACUAAGGACUGCAUUAUUUCGACUUCAACAUCAAAUCAAUAAUUCGACACCUGGACUCCGGACCUUCCACUUUGGCUGGCCCGAAAACAAUUCGAAGGAAUCUACUUCAUAUUCAGUUUCCGCUAGACAACGUCAUUGCUUCGACCUCACACUGAAGGAGGUAUCGCCUGUUGGGUCUUCUUCUCUAAUAAUAAUAUUUAAAAUAUCCCUGAAGACAUGACAUUUGGAUCUACUCUUUCCUUUGAAAUCAUAGAGUUCGACUAUUUCUCUUAUCAGAGAAUUCAACCUAUUUCUCAUAUAAUAUUCUUUUACUUCUUAAACUAAGGAUUAAUUCUGCUUUUAGUGGAGUUAAUCCAACCUCAAGGGAAAAGUGCCUACCUGACAAUUUCGACGAAAGACUGUAUAAUGUAAAGAAUAAAUAAAGGACAAAUUAUUAUAUCUGAA